rnacentral:rRNA from 1 species
AGUGAACGCUGGCGGUAGGCCUAACACAUGCAAGUCGAACGGCAGCACAGUAAGAGCCUGCUCUUACGGGUGGCGAGUGGCGGACGGGUGAGGAAUACAUCGGAAUCUACUUUUUCGUGGGGGAUAACGUAGGGAAACUUACGCUAAUACCGCAUACGACCUACGGGUGAAAGCAGGGGAUCUUCGGACCUUGCGUGAUUGAAUGAGCCGAUGUCGGAUUAGCUAGUUGGCGGGGUAAAGGCCCACCAAGGCGACGAUCCGUAGCUGGUCUGAGAGGAUGAUCAGCCACACUGGAACUGAGACACGGUCCAGACUCCUACGGGAGGCAGCAGUGGGGAAUAUUGGACAAUGGGCGCAAGCCUGAUCCAGCCAUACCGCGUGGGUGAAGAAGGCCUUCGGGUUGUAAAGCCCUUUUGUUGGGAAAGAAAAGCAGCAGGUUAAUACCCCGCUGUUCUGACGGUACCCAAAGAAUAAGCACCGGCUAACUUCGUG